AAUCUGGGGUCGCCGACCUCCGAGUUGUAAUUUGGAGAGGCAUCUUCGGGGUGGAGCGCCGGCCCCAUGUUCCUUGGAACAGGACGUCGCAGAGGGUGAGAAUCCCGUGCCAGGCCGGCCGCCUCCGCCCCCAUCGAGGGGCCUUCGACGAGUCGAGUUGUUUGGGAAUGCAGCUCCAAGUGGGUGGUAAAUUUCAUCUAAAGCUAAAUACCGGCGGGAGACCGAUAGCGCACAAGUAGAGUGAUCGAAAGAUGAAAAGCACUUUGAAAAUAGAGUCAAAAAGUACGUGAAAUUGUUGAAAGGGAAGCGCUUGAGACCAGACCCAGACCCGGGCAAACACCGCGCCCCUCGGGGCCGUGCAAUUGCCCGUGGCUGGGCCAGCAUCAGUCGGCCCGGCGGGACAAAUGCGAGGGGAAUGUGUCUCCCCUCGGGGAGUGUUUAUUAGCCCCUCGCCCAAUGCCGCCCGAGCCGACUGUGGACCGCGCCUCGGCUAGGAUGCUGGCUUAAUGGCCUUCAGCGACCCGUCUUGAAACACGGACCAAGGAGUCUAACAUCUAUGCGAGUGUUUGGGCUUCAAACCCUUGCGCGGAAUGAAAGUGAGCGGAGGUGGGAACCCCCCCGCGGGGCGCACCAUCGACCGAUCCUGAUGUCCUCGGAUGGAUUUGAGU
rnacentral:rRNA from 1 species